GGGGAAUUAGCUCAGUGGUAGAGCGCUUGCUUAGCACUAGUUUGAUUGCAUGAGGCCGUGGGUUCAAUUCCCACAUUCUCCA